GGCAGUGAGGCAGCCAGCGCAGGGGCUUCUGCUGAGGGCGCAGGCGGAGCUUGAGGAAACCGCAGAUAAGUUUUUUUCACUUUGAAAGAUAGAGAUUAAUACAACUACUUAAAAAAUAUAGUCAAUAGGUUACUAAGAUAUUGCUUAGCGUUAAGCUUUUAACGUAAUUUUAAUAGCUUAAGAUUUUAAGAGAAAAUAUGAAGACUUAGAAGAGUAGCAUGACGAAGGAAAAGAUAAAAGAUUUCUAAAACAUGACGGAGGUUGAGAUGAAGCUUCUUCAUGGAGUAAAAAAUGUAUUUAAAAGAAAAUUGAGAGAAAGGACUACAGAGCCCUGAAUUAAUACCAAUAGAAGGGCAAUGCUUUUAGAUUAAAAUGAAGGUGACUUAAACAGCUUAAAGUUUACUUUAAAAGUUGUAGGUGAUUAAAAUAAUUUGAAGGCGAUCUUUUAAAAAGAGAUUAAACCGAAGGUGAUUAAAAGACCUUGAAAUCCAUGACGCAGGGAGAAUUGCGUCAUUUAAAGCCUAGUUAACGCAUUUAAACGCAGACGAAAAUGGAAAGAUUAGUUGGGAGUGGUAGGAUGAAACGAUUUGGAGAAGAUAGAAGUUUGAAGUGGAAAACUGGAAGACAGAAGUACAGGAAGGCGGAGAAAAGAAUAGAGAAGAUAGGGAAAUUAGAAGAUAAAAACAUACUUUUAGAAGAAAAAAGAUAAAUUUAAACCUGAAAAGUAGGAAGCAGAAGAAAAAAGACAAGCUAGGAAACAAAAAACUAAGGGCAAAAUGUACAAACUUAGAAGAAAAUUGGAAGAUAGAAACAAGAUAGAAAAUGAAAAUAUUGUCAAGAGUUUCAGAUAGAAAAUGAAAAACAAGCUAAGACAAGUAUUGGAGAAGUAUAGAAGAUAGAAAAAUAUAAAGCCAAAAAUUGGAUAAAAUAGCACUGAAAAAGUGAGGAAAUUAUUGGUAACCAAUUUAUUUUAAAAGCCCAUCAAUUUAAUUUCUGGUGGUGCAGAAGUUAGAAGGUAAAGCUUGAGAAGAUGAGGGUGUUUACGUAGACCAGAACCAAUUUAGAAGAAUACUUGAAGCUAGAAGGGGAAGUUGGUUAAAAAUCACAUCAAAAAAGGACUGGUGUAAUUUAAAAAAAAACUAAGGCAGAAGGCUUUUGGAAGAGUUAGAAGAAUUUGGAAGGCCUUAAAUAUAGUAGCUUAGUUUGAAAAAUGUGAAGGACUUUCGUAACGGAAGUAAUUCAAGAUCAAGAGUAAUUACCAACUUAAUGUUUUUGCAUUGGACUUUGAGUUAAGAUUAUUUUUUAAAUCCUGAGGACUAGCAUUAAUUGACAGCUGACCCAGGUGCUACACAGAAGUGGAUUCAGUGAAUCUAGGAAGACAGCAGCAGACAGGAUUCCGGGAACCAGUGUUUGAUGAAGCUAGGACUGAGGAGCAAGCGAGCAAGCAGCAGUUCGUGGUGAAGAUAGGAAAAGAGUCCAGGAGCCAGUGCGAUUUGGUGAAGGAAGCUAGGAAGAAGGAAGGAGCGCUAACGAUUUGGUGGUGAAGCUAGGAAAAAGGAUUCCAGAAAGGAGCGAGUGCGAUUUGGUGAUGAAGCUAGCAGGCGGCUUGGCUUGGCAACCACACGGAGGAGGCGAGCAGGCGUUGUGCGUAGAUAGAGGAUCCUAGACCAGCAUGCCAGUGUGCCAAGGCCACAGGGAAAACGAGUGGUUGGUAAAAAUCCGUGAGGUCGGCAAUAUGUUGUUUUUCUGGAACUUAUGGUAACCUUUUAUUUAUUUUCUAAUAUAAUGGGGGAGUUUCGUACUGAGGUGUAAAGGGAUUUAUAUGGGGAACGUAGGCCGAUUUCCGGGUGUUGUAGGUUUCUCUUUUUCAGGCUUAUACUCAUGAAUCUUGUCUGAAGCUUUUGAGGGCAGACUGCCAAGUCCUGGAGAAAUAGUAGAUGGCAAGUUUGUGGGUUUUUUUUUUUUUUUUUUUUUUUUUUACGAAUUUGAGGAAAACCAAAUGAAUUUGAUAGCCAAAUUGAGACAAUUUCAGCAAAUCUGUAAGCAGUUUGUAUGUUUAGUUGGGGUAAAUGAAGUAUUUCAGUUUUGUGAAUAGAUGACCUGUUUUUACUUCCUCACCCUGAAUUCGUUUUGUAAAUGUAGAGUUUGGAUGUGUAACUGAGGCGGGGGGGAGUUUUCAGUAUUUUUUUUUUGUGGGGGUGGGGGCAAAAUAUGUUUUCAGUUCUUUUUCCCUUAGGUCUGUCUAGAAUCCUAAAGGCAAAUGACUCAAGGUGUAACAGAAAACAAGAAAAUCCAAUAUCAGGAUAAUCAGACCACCACAGGUUUACAGUUUAUAGAAACUAGAGCAGUUCUCACGUUGAGGUCUGUGGAAGAGAUGUCCAUUGGAGAAAUGGCUGGUAGUUACUCUUUUUUCCCCCCACCCCCUUAAUCAGACUUUAAAAGUGCUUAACCCCUUAAACUUGUUAUUUUUUACUUGAAGCAUUUUGGGAUGGUCUUAACAGGGAAGAGAGAGGGUGGGGGAGAAAAUGUUUUUUUCUAAGAUUUUCCACAGAUGCUAUAGUACUAUUGACAAACUGGGUUAGAGAAGGAGUGUACCGCUGUGCUGUUGGCACGAACACCUUCAGGGACUGGAGCUGCUUUUAUCCUUGGAAGAGUAUUUCCAGUUGAAGCUGAAAAGUACAGCACAGUGCAGCUUUGGUUCAUAUUCAGUCAUCUCAGGAGAACUUCAGAAGAGCUUGAGUAGGCCAAAUGUUGAAGUUAAGUUUUCCAAUAAUGUGACUUCUUAAAAGUUUUAUUAAAGGGGAGGGGCAAAUAUUGGCAAUUAGUUGGCAGUGGCCUGUUACGGUUGGGAUUGGUGGGGUGGGUUUAGGUAAUUGUUUAGUUUAUGAUUGCAGAUAAACUCAUGCCAGAGAACUUAAAGUCUUAGAAUGGAAAAAGUAAAGAAAUAUCAACUUCCAAGUUGGCAAGUAACUCCCAAUGAUUUAGUUUUUUUCCCCCCAGUUUGAAUUGGGAAGCUGGGGGAAGUUAAAUAUGAGCCACUGGGUGUACCAGUGCAUUAAUUUGGGCAAGGAAAGUGUCAUAAUUUGAUACUGUAUCUGUUUUCCUUCAAAGUAUAGAGCUUUUGGGGAAGGAAAGUAUUGAACUGGGGGUUGGUCUGGCCUACUGGGCUGACAUUAAUUACAAUUAUGGGAAAUGCAAAAGUUGUUUGGAUAUGGUAGUGUGUGGUUCUCUUUUGGAAUUUUUUUCAGGUGAUUUAAUAAUAAUUUAAAACUACUAUAGAAACUUCAGAGCAAAGGAAGUGGCUUAAUGAUCCUGAAGGGAUUUCUUCUGAUGGUAGCUUUUGUAUUAUCAAACAGGUAUCUCUUCGUUAUCAGAAGAGUUGCUUCAUUUCAUCUGGGAGCAGAAAACAGCAGGCAGCUGUUAACAGAUAAGUUUAACUUGCAUCUGCAGUAUUGCAUGUUAGGGAUAAGUGCUUAUUUUUAAGAGGUGUGGAGUUCUUAAAUAUCAACCAUGGCACUUUCUCCUGACCCCUUCCCUAGGGGAUUUCAGGAUUGAGAAAUUUUUCCAUCGAGCCUCUUUAAAAUUGUAGGACUUGUUCCUGUGGGCUUCAAUGAUGGGAUAGUACACUUCACUCAGAGGCAUUUGCAUCUUUAAAUAAUUUCUUAAAAGCCUCUAAAGUGAUCAGUGCCUUGAUGCCAACUAAGGAAAUUUGUUUAGCAUUGAAUCUCUGAAGGCUCUAUGAAAGGAAUAGCAUGAUGUGCUGUUAGAAUCAGAUGUUAUUGCUAAAAUUUACAUGUUGUGUUGUGAUGUAAAUUGUGUAGAAAACCAUUAAAUCAUUCAAAAUAAUAAACUAUUUUUAUUAGAGAAUGUAUACUUUUAGAAAGCUGUCUCCUUAUUUAAAUACAAUACUGUUUGUCUGUAGUUUAGUGUUGGGGCAAUCUUGGGGGGGAUUCUUCUCUAAUCUUUCAGAAACUUUGUCUGCGAACACUCUUUAAUGGACCAGAUCAGGAUUUGAGCGGAAGAACGAAUGUAACUUUAAGAGGCAUUUCAUCCUUCAUGAAGCUGUUCAGGAUUUUGAAUUGCAUAUGAGUGCUUGGCUCUUCCUUCUGUUCUCCUAGUGAGUGUAUGAGACCUUGCAGUGAGUUUAUCAGCAUACUCAAAAUUUUUUUCCUGGAAUUUGGAGGGAUGGGAGGAGGGGGUGGGGCUUACUUGUUGUAGCUUUUUUUUUUUUUACAGACUUCACAGAGAAUGCAGUUGUCUUGACUUCAGGUCUGUCUGUUCUGUUGGCAAGUAAAUGCAGUACUGUUCUGAUCCCGCUGCUAUUAGAAUGCAUUGUGAAACGACUGGAGUAUGAUUAAAAGUUGUGUUCCCCAAUGCUUGGAGUAGUGAUUGUUGAAGGAAAAAAUCCAGCUGAGUGAUAAAGGCUGAGUGUUGAGGAAAUUUCUGCAGUUUUAAGCAGUCGUAUUUGUGAUUGAAGCUGAGUACAUUUUGCUGGUGUAUUUUUAGGUAAAAUGCUUUUUGUUCAUUUCUGGUGCUGGGAGGGGACUGAAGCCUUUAGUCUUUUCCAGAUGCAACCUUAAAAUCAGUGACAAGAAACAAAUUCCAAACAAGCAACAGUCUUCAAGAAAUUAAACUGGCAAGUGGAAAUGUUUAAACAGUUCAGUGAUCUUUAGUGCAUUGUUUUUGUGUGGGUUUCUCUCUCCCCUCCCUUGGUCUUAAUUCUUACAUGCAGGAACACUCAGCAGACACACGUAUGCGAAGGGCCAGAGAAGCCAGACCCAGUAAGAAAAAAUAGCCUAUUUACUUUAAAUAAACCAAACAUUCCAUUUUAAAUGUGGGGAUUGGGAACCACUAGUUCUUUCAGAUGGUAUUCUUCAGACUAUAGAAGGAGCUUCCAGUUGAAUUCACCAGUGGACAAAAUGAGGAAAACAGGUGAACAAGCUUUUUCUGUAUUUACAUACAAAGUCAGAUCAGUUAUGGGACAAUAGUAUGAA
rnacentral:lncRNA from 1 species